rnacentral:rRNA from 1 species
AACUAGUCACCGAAGCUGCGGAUGUGCGCGAAGGCGCACGUGGUAGGGGAGCGUUCUGUAGGCUGAUGAAGGUGCAUUGAGAAGUGUGCUGGAGGUAUCAGAAGUGCGAAUGCUGACAUGAGUAACGAUAAUGUGGGUGAAAAGCCCACACGCCGGAAGUCCCAGGUUUCCUGCACGACGUUAAUCGGAGCAGGGUGAGUCGGCCCCUAAGGCGAGGCUGAAGAGCGUAGUCGAUGGGAACCAGGUUAAUAUUCCUGGACUUUUUAUAAGUGGUGAAGUGGGGACGAAGAAGGCUAGGUGAGCCAGGCGUUGGUUGUCC